rnacentral:misc_RNA from 1 species
GAUGAAGAACGUAGCGAAAUGCGAUAAGUAAUGUGAAUUGCAGAAUUCAGUGAAUCAUCGAAUCUUUGAACGCACCUUGCACCCUUUGGCAUUCCGAAGGGUAUGCUCGUUUGAGUGUCAUUGUACUCUCACACUUCCAAUCUUUGGAUUGGGAGCAGUGGACUUGGGUGUUGCUGCUUACUGUGGCUCACCUCAAAUCGAUUCGUGCACCUCUUGGUUGGACAUAGUACGGCGUGAUAAGUGUCUUCGCCGGCACCUCAGUAGAGGGUGGCUGAUCAGGAGCUCUGUGCUUCAAACCGUCCUCGGACAACAACUGACAACUUGACCUCAAAUCGAGUAGGACCACCCGCUGAACUUAAGCAUAUCAAUAAGCGGAGGA